rnacentral:sRNA from 1 species
UCCAGCAGAAUUAUCACUCGAUGGCGGU